AGUCAGCCAGUUCUUUGAAAUUCGUAGCCAGGCAUUGACGUCUCUCUAGCUAUGAAAGUCCAAGAUGGCAU
rnacentral:miRNA from 1 species